rnacentral:rRNA from 1 species
GGUCAAGUUAUUAAGGGUGCAGGGCGGAUGCCUUGGCACUAGGAGCCGAUGAAGGACGUGAUAAGCUGCGAUAAGCUUCGGGGAGUUGCACGUAAACUUUGAUCCGAAGAUUUCCGAAUGAGGAAACUCACUUAGAGUAAUGUCUAAGUAUCAUUAAGUGAAUACAUAGCUUAAUGAGGGGAACUCAGGGAACUGAAACAUCUAAGUACCUGAAGGAAGAGAAAGAAAUUCGAUUCCGUAAGUAGCGGCGAGCGAACGCGGAUUAGCCCAAACCAAUAAAGUUUUCUUUAUUGGGGUUGCGGACAUAUCAUAACGAAGAGGUAUCAUAAUUGAAGAGGUUUGGAAAGACCCACCACAGAAGGUAAUAGUCCUGUAUGUUAAACGAGAAGACUUCAGAUAUGAUCCAGAGUACCACGGGACACGUGAAACCCUGUGGGAAGCAGGAGGGACCACCCUCCAAGGCUAAAUACUACCUAGUGACCGAUAGCGUAUAGUACCGUGAGGGAAAGGUGAAAAGAACCCCGGGAGGGGAGUGAAAUAGAACCUGAAACCCUGCACUUACAAGCUGUGGAAGCACAUUUCUUGUGUGACCGCGUACUUUUUGUAGAACGGGCCAACGAGUUACGUUAAGUAGCAAGGUUAAGCACUUAAGGUGUGGAGCCGUAGCGAAAGCGAGUUUUAACUGAGCGUUCAGUUACUUGACGUAGACCCGAAACCGGGCGACCUACCCAUGAGCAGGAUGAAGCGAAAGUAAAAUUUCGUGGAGGUCCGAACCCACGAGCGUUGAAAAGCUCGGGGAUGACUUGUGGGUAGCGGUGAAAUUCCAAUCGAGCCCGGAGAUAGCUGGUUCUCCCCGAAAUAGCUUUAGGGCUAGCCUCAAGGUGAGAGAUACGGAGGUAGAGCACUGAAUGUCCUAGGGGGUAUUGCACCUACCGAAGACUAUCAAACUCCGAAUGCCGUCAUCUUAUACUUGGGAGUCAGACUGUGGGUGAUAAGAUUCAUAGUCGAAAGGGCAACAGCCCAGAUCGUCAGCUAAGGUCCCUAAAUGUAAGUUAAGUGGUAAAGGAUGUGGGAUUGCACAGACAACCAGGAUGUUGGCUUAGAAGCAGCCACUCAUUCAAAGAGUGCGUAAUAGCUCACUGGUCGAGUGAUCCUGCGCCGAAGAUUUCCGGGGCUAAAACUUACUACCGAAGCUACGGCAUCAGUAAUGAUGGGUAGGGGAGCUUCCCAUACGGGUUGAAGCAUGACCGUAAGGACAUGUGGACAGUAUGGGAGUGAGAAUGUUGGCAUGAGUAGCGAGAUGUGGGUGAGAAUCCCACAGGCCGUAAACCCAAGGUUUCCAGGGGAAGGUUCGUCCGCCCUGGGUUAGUCGGGACCUAAGCUGAGGCCGAAAGGCGUAGGUGAUGGACAACAGGUUGAUAUUCCUGUAC